GGGGAUGUAGCUCAGAUGGUAGAGCGCUCGCUUAGCAUGCGAGGCACCGUGAUCGAUACCUGGCAUCUCCA
rnacentral:tRNA from 1 species